rnacentral:rRNA from 1 species
UAGGGAAUCUUCCACGAUGGACGCAAGUCUGAUGGAGCAACGCCGCGUGAGUGAAGAAGGUCUUCGGAUCGUAAAACUCUGUUGUUAGAGAAGAACACGAGUGAGAGUAACUGUUCAUUCGAUGACGGUAUCUAACCAGCAAGUCACGGCUAACUACGUGCCCG